CUCAGAGAUUCUCAGCCUGCUCUCUGACAACAUUGAAAGUCGGAGCCGCAAAGGAGUGGGUAUGGCAAAGAGCUACUGAUUAGCAUAACAUCCAUAUCCGUUAUAAAACCAGGAAAAGGUGGGCAUGGAUGGUGAGCUGAUUUGGGGGUGCAAUGGGCCACUUGACUGGAUUUGCCCCCCAGGCCUGAGGCUGCCAGCCCUCCCCUGGUUCCAGCAUUCUACUUGCUGGUGACUAUUGGCCUGCUUGGGGGCAGUCACAUCCAUAAGAGCUGUUGGUUUCUUGUGUGUAUUAGAAUUAGCCUCUACCCCCAUGGCUACUUUAACUGUAAUGCAGUGGGGGGUGUAAACCAUCUAUAAAACAAGUAACAAAAUGUCUGAUAGACAGGGGGUCUGCUUCAGAGUAUCCUAAUGACUCCCAGCCUAUGUGAAAUUAGGCAAAAAAUCUUCCCACUUAUUCCUCUUUCCCUUGCACAGAGUCAAUGAGUCCCACCAAGGGUUAGCCUAUUAACAUCUAGGGCAAAUCCAGUAAGAUUUCUGAGC